rnacentral:misc_RNA from 1 species
AGCAGCCGCGGUAAUUCCAGCUCCAAUAGCGUAUAUUAAAGUUGCUGCAGUUAAAAAGCUCGUAGUUGAAUUUCGGGACCAUCAUGUCGGUCGUGCCUCGGUACGUACUGGCAUUGUUGGUUUCUCCCUUCUGACGAACCAUGAUGUCAUUUAUUUGGUGUCAUGGGAAAUCAGGACUGUUACUUUGAAAAAAUUAGAGUGUUUAAAGCAGGCUCACGCUUGAAUACAUUAGCAUGGAAUAAUGAAAUAGGACGUUUGAUUCUAUUUUGUUGGUUUCUAGGAUCGACGUAAUGAUUAAUAGGGAUAGUUGGGGGCAUUAGUAUUCAAUUGUCAGAGGUGAAAUUCUUGGAUUUAUUGAAGACUAAACUACUGCGAAAGCAUUUGCCAAGGAUGUUUUCAUUAAUCAAGAACGAAAGUUAGGGGAUCGAAGACGAUCAGAUACCGUCGUAGUCUUAACCAUAAACUAUGCCGACUAGGGAUCGGAUGAUGUUAAUUUUAUAAUGACU